UGGGGAAUAUUGGACAAUGGAGGAAACUCUGAUCCAGCAAUUCUGUGUGUGUGAAGAAGGUUUUAGGACUGUAAAACACUUUUAGUAGGGAAGAAAAAAAUGACGGUACCUACAGAAGAAGCAACGGCUAAAUACGUGCCAGCAGCCGCGGUAAUACGUAUGUUGCGAGCGUUAUCCGGAAUUAUUGGGCUUAAAGGGCAUCUAGGCGGUAAGACAAGUUGAAGGUGAAAACCUGUGGCUCAACCAUAGGCUUGCCUACAAAACUGUUGAACUAGAGUACUGGAAAGGUGGGUGGAACUACACGAGUAGAGGUGAAAUUCGUAGAUAUGUGUAGGAAUGCCGAUGAUGAAGAUAACUUACUGGACAGAAACUGACGCUGAAGUGCGAAAGCUAGGGGAGCAAACAGG
rnacentral:rRNA from 1 species